rnacentral:rRNA from 1 species
UCUCAGGAUGCACCCAGGAAGAUUUCGAAUGGCAGCAGUGGGGUGCCGCCGCCGCAGCAUAAGCAAAUUGAUCGCCCCCCUUUGGCUGUUAGUGUUAAACCAAAAGUUCUUCCGGUACCAAGAACCGAACCGCCAAAGGCUGUGAAGGGAUCAACUCAAAGAACAAUUGAAGUUAGCAAGGAUAUAAAGAGACAAAAGAAAGACCUGAAACCAGAUGAAGUGGAAAAUUUAAAGGCUUGUCAGCUUGAAUUUGGUAGCUACUGCCUCUGGUCAACAGAACACAAAGUAAUUAUGAAGGAUUCAGUAGUGAAAAGACUAAAAGACCAACUAUUCGUGGCCCGCUCAUACUAUCCAAGCAUUGCCAAACUUCAAGGACAGGAGGCACUUACUCAUGAAAUGAAGCAAAAUAUACAAGACCAUGAGAGGGUUCUCAGUGCAUCUGCUGUUGAUGCUGAUCUACCAUCCUUUAUCAACAAGAAGAUAGAGCAGAUGGAGCACACAAUAGCAAAAGCGAAAUCAUGCACUGUGGAAUGCCACAAUGUUGUCAGGAAGCUUCGGCAGAUACUUGAUAUGACCGAUGAUGAAGCUCAUUUUCAUAUGAAGCAGAGUGCAUUCCUCUACAAUCUUGGUUCUCAGACAUUGCCAAAAACUCACCACUGUUUCUCUAUGAGGUUGACAUUGGAAUAUUUCAAAUCCCCUUCAUUGGAUUCUGAUGUUUAUCCGGCUCGCAAGUUCAAUACCCCAAACCACAGGCACUAUGUUAUACUAUCUAAGAAUGUCCUUGCAGCUUCUGUUGUCAUCAACUCAACAGUUAUCAAUUCUAAGGAGCCAGCAAACAAUGUUUUUCAUAUCCUAACUGAUGCUCAAAACUUCUAUGGCAUGAAAUACUGGUUUGCCAGAAAUUCAUACAAGAAGGCACCUAUCCAUGUCGUGAACUAUGAAGAAAUGGUUUUAGAGAAGCUACCAAAGUUUAGUAUGCGAGAGCUGUAUUUGUCUGAGGAGUUUCGUGUUCUCAUCAGGAGCACCGAGCGGCCCACUGAGCAGACAAGAAUAGAGUACUUGUCAUUGUUCAGCCAUUCACAUUUCUUUAUUCCUGAAAUAUUCAAGGAUCUAAAAAAGGUAGUUGUAUUGGAUGAUGAUGUGGUUGUUCAACGUGAUCUGUCUUUCUUGUGGAAACUUGAUAUGGGGGACAAGGUAAAUGGUGCUGUUGAAUUUUGUGGUGUAAGACUGGGUCAAGUGAGAAAUCUCCUGGGUAAGACAAAGUAUGAUCCUAAAUCAUGUGCAUGGAUGUCUGGGGUGAAUGUGAUCAAUUUGGAUAAAUGGAGGAAGCAUAAAGUAACAGAGAAUUACCUGCUGCUCCUUAAACAGGUCAAGAAAAAAGACGAGGUAUCUCUGAGAGAAGCUGCCUUUUCUUUAAGCCUGUUGUCUUUUCAAAAUCUCGUCUACCCUCUUGAUGGGAGGUCGACUCUGUCUGGACUUGGAUAUGAUUAUGGAAUCGAUCCGGAGGUUGCACAGAGCUCUGCAGCGUUGCACUACAAUGGCAAUAUGAAGCCUUGGCUUGAGUUAGGCAUACUGGACUACAAGAUAUACUGGAGGAGGUUUCUCACUCGAGAAGAUCGAUUCAUGGAUGAGUGCAAUGUAAAUCCAUAG